ACUACGGGUGGCUGCAGUGAGGAAUAUUGGUCAAUGGGCGGAAGCCUGAACCAGCCAAGUAGCGUGCAGGAUGACGGCCCUACGGGUUGUAAACUGCUUUUAUACGGGAAUAACGCGCCUUACGUGUAGGGCUUUGCAUGUACCGUAUGAAUAAGGACCGGCUAAUUCCGUGCCAGCAGCAGCGGUAAUACGGAAGGUCCGGGCGUUAUCCGGAUUUAUUGGGUUUAAAGGGAGCGUAGGCCGCAUGUCAAGCGUGCUGUGAAAUGUCCGGGCUCAACCCGGGCCUUGCAGCGCGAACUGGCGUGCUUGAGUCCGCGGAAAGCAGGCGGAAUUCGUCGUGUAGCGGUGAAAUGCUUAGAUAUGACGAAGAACCCCGAUUGCGAAGGCAGCUUGCUGCAGCGGAACUGACGCUGAUGCUCGAAAGCGCGGGUAUCGAACAGGAUUAGAUACCCUGGUAAUC
rnacentral:rRNA from 1 species